AACCCGAGCCUUCCCAAUGGCAGUACGCAAUUCUAACUAGUCGGCUAUCGUGGCCGCCAUUAUGAAUUUUUUUUACGCAACUUCGCCUAGCCCAGGUCCAACAAUUAUAAACAUGAAUUCAUUUCUACAUGCACAUGCAUUUACAAUACAUAGCAUAAGUGACAAAUGUUCAUUGCAUUAGUGGUUUUUAUAAAAUAACAUUUCGCUUGUGUGAAGAACAAUAUAAAAUACGAGAAAAAGUAAAAAAGAAGUUAAGUAGCCUGUAGUGUUCCUAAGGGUUUUUACAUCACGAACGCCUAGUUUAUAUUUCAAUGAGAGUGAGGUGGGUCCCACUGAAUAGGGUCAAUAGAGGGUUUUAAGUUCCACAGUCAAUUCAAGAAGUAAACAAGUGUUAUAGUAGAAACUUGAGUAGAGAUUCGUACAAAAAGUUACAUUUAUUUCUGCAUAUAAAAAAUACAUUUUGUUGCAGCUUUCAAUAUAGCGUGAUAUUUUUUUAGGCUGAGCCACUCCAGCCAAGUGAAAAAACUCCGUUAAAACUGGCGCCCUAGCAAGAGCUUUAAACUAAUAAGUCGAGGUAGUAGACAAAGAGGCAACCAUGGUCAAGGUGAUAUGGGCUUACUAUUUCAUUAGAGAGGAGGGAGAGAUAUGCAGAAGAGUUCGGAUUCGAGGACCGUGGAACAGUAGAAACGCCAACACUUUGUGAGUUUUAUCCAGAGCCACAGUGAAGGAACAGACGUCCAAAAACGAUCAGCAGAGCUGACCCAGCAACAUACUCGGCCAGCAAUAACUCUGAAUCUAGCGACAACAACGUACGUGCCCACGACGUCAUUGUGGGUGCCAUUACGACGGCAGUAAAGACCCCCUAGGAUUCAUAUAGAGGGAGGAAAAGUUAGCGGAUAGGUACAACAUUAACCGUAGUUUGAUCCCACAAGCGUUAUCAGAACUUUUGAAAGACAAGAGUCUCGUAUGGUUCCGUAACAACAAACGGCACUGGUAGAAAUGGGAUGAUCUUAAAAGCGUGAUCUUGAGCACGCGGUACUACGAAAAACUGGUUGACGAGAUACGACGACGCGUCCAACCACCUUUGAGGGGUUUAAAGAUUACGCUUCGGUGCUACAGGGGCUUUUGCGACAUGUGAACUACACGGCCGAAUAUACCGAAACUCUCGCCGGGAGUACUAGCUAUAUGUGAAAAGGCAUGAGCUUCACAGUUUGGAAGAGUUGCUAGAUCUGGUUGAAGAUUUUGCUGUUUAAACCGUUAAAUCUAGAAGAAGAACGAUACCGGUUCCUAUGCGCAGAUGACGUGAAGAGGUGAAGAGGUCAGCAUCAGUAAUAAGACCCUACGUGAAUCAAGAAGAAGGGCGUUACAGUCAGUUUAUUGAUAGCCAACUAAAGGCAAAAGAAUAAUAGCAAUAGCUAGAGAGAAACAGGUUUUAAUCGCAUUGUGAUUCUUCGUAACUGACUGCUAUCAACGCCUCAUUGGAGAGCAAUGGGAAAUAUCUCUGAGUCAGUCUUCCGUAAGCCGUUAUAUGCUUAGCGUAACAGACGUAAUCAAUCAUUCGAUGUCCUUUGCGAAUGUUAGAUUUCCCUCAUCAGUUGGUGGAGGCACUAUUGGUUCACUUUUGUGCUCAUAAUAAGCCCCAGAUAUCAUAAACGAAACUAUGUGAACCACCAUGCCAUUCUAUCAAUGUGCGAAUGAUGCUCCAUCUCCAUCUGGUAUAUUUGCCUCUUCUGUACUUACUACCAUAGCGACUUUCUACUGAGUCGUCUGCAAAGUUCCUGCUGCAGGUCCCUUCAGCGCAAAGAAUAAGGGAGCGGAUAUUUCCUCAUUACUCCAGUUAUUUGCUGUAGCCGUCUUUUCGAACUGGAGCCUACAUACCUUGAAAAUAAUUGUGUCGUCUAAGGAUGCUGUUUUUAACUUGAGAUCGAUCGUUGAAGGGACUGUACGGUUCAUUUGAAGGAUAUCCUUCAAUCUCAUUGACUUCGUCUUCGAACUUAUCUUGCCGUUCUUUUGGGACUGAUCAACUUGUACAUAAGCUGUAUGAACUGGGAUGACUGCGAUGACAACUCGGACAAACGCGUGCCGUGUGCUUCCCACUUUUGUGAUAUACGUGCAUCCUAUGUUUUUAGUUGUAUUGAAAUGUCGGCUUUUUGGUCUUGAAGCUGUGAUGAUGGCAUUCAUUUUUGACAUUGCAGCCAAUAGUACGUUCAUGUCAACACCAAAAGAUGAACUGGUGUGCUAGCUGCUCGAAAUCUUUUUGCAGAUUCAACACUCUCUUCUUUCUUCGAAUCCUUCAUGGAUGUAUUUUCGUCGGUCAAUUGGUAGUUCAAAGUACUCCUGUUGAGUUCCUGACAAGAAGGGUCUACGUCGCUAUGAAACUUCAACUGACAACAAACAUGUAUCUGCUGAGAAUUUCUCUGUGUGAUUACUGAUUAUCGGUACUUGUCGAGUACUGUCGUCGAAUCAAGCGGAUUAAUUUCAUUUCCUCUGAAUUUCUGUAACUUUGUCGCAUCGAAAGAGGAACUCAUCAACAAAGAAUUCCCCAACAUAAUAAUUUUCCAUCAAGGAAUGGUUAGUUGCCUGGCUUACCACCGCACAGUUUAUGAACAAAGUUUGCUUCGAAAUACAAAGCAAGCAAAACCGGGUAACGGAACUCGUAUGGUAAGCAAACUGAUGAAUAAUGUAAUUUUCGCGACGAUACUCAAAGGAAGCUUUGAAGGUGAGGACGUUCUCAUUCAGAGAAUUCCGAUGAUCCCAAACGAUAUACCGUUCACUUUUAAAGAACUUCAGUUUCCGAUCUGCCUUGCUUUCGCCAUGACAAUUCACAAAUCGGAAGGCCAAUCCUUGAAAGUUUGUGGUCUGAUUAUGGGAAAUCCUUGUUUUUCACAUGGUCAGAUUUUGUGGCCUGAUAAUGAAACAAAAAUGCCACCCAUCACAACGUUCUCCACUGAACAGUGCAACUCUUGCACCAAAAUACAUGAUCAAUGAAAAACCAUAGAUUUAAGACUUGAUUUUUCUAAAUUAUAUGUGUUAUCUUAAUAAAAAA